GCGGGAGUAGCUCAGUUGGUAGAGCACGACCUUGCCAAGGUCGGGGACGCGGGCUCAAGUCCCGUCUCCCGCUCCA
rnacentral:tRNA from 1 species